rnacentral:rRNA from 1 species
CCACGGGCUGCCUAGUACGGCGAGUGAAGCGGCAACAGCUCAAAUUUGAAAGCUGGCUCCGGCCCGCGUUGUAAUUUGCAGAGGAUGCUUCUGGCGAGGUGCCUUCCGAGUUCCCUGGAACGGGACGCCAUAGAGGGUGAGAGCCCCGUAUGGAUGGACACCAAACCUGUGUGAAGCUCCUUCAACGAGUCGAGUAGUUUGGGAAUGCUGCUCUAAAUGGGAGGUAAAUCUCUUCUAAAGCUAAAUACCGGCCAGAGACCGAUAGCGCACAAGUAGAGUGAUCGAAAGAUGAAAAGCACCUUGAAAAGGGGGUUAAACAGUACGUGAAAUUGUUGAAAGGGAAGCGCUUGUGACCAGACUUGCGCCGGGCAGCUCAUCAGGGGUUCUCCCCUGUGCACUCUGCCCGGCUCAGGCCAGCAUCGGUUCUCGUGGGAGGAUAAGAACGGUAGGAACGUGGCCCCCCUCCGGGGGGGUGUUAUAGCCUGCCGUACGAUACUCCCGUGGGGACCGAGGUUCGCGCUCCGCAAGGAUGCUGGCGUAAUGGUCAUCAGCGACCCGUCUUGACA